rnacentral:rRNA from 1 species
GACGAACGCUGGCGGCGUGCUUAACACAUGCAAGUCGAACGGAAAGGCUCUGCUUUUGUGGGGUGCUCGAGUGGCGAACGGUUGAGUAACACGUGAGUAACCUGCCCUUGACUUUGGGAUAACUUCAGGAAACUGGGGCUAAUACCGGAUAGGAGCUCCUGCUGCAUGGUGGGGGUUGGAAAGUUUCGGCGAUUGGGGAUGGACUCGCGGCUUAUCAGCUUGUUGGUGGGGUAGUGGCUUACCAAGGCUUUGACGGGUAGCCGGCCUGAGAGGGUGACCGGCCACAUUGGGACUGAGAUACGGCCCAGACUCCUACGGGAGGCAGCAGUGGGGAAUAUUGCACAAUGGGCGGAAGCCUGAUGCAGCAACGCCGCGUGCGGGAUGACGGCCUUCGGGUUGUAAACCGCUUUCGCCUGUGACGAAGCGUGAGUGACGGUAAUGGGUAAAGAAGCACCGGCUAACUACGUG